UUUACAUUGAAACUUCAGAAUUUAUAAAAAUGAAAUUUAUUGUUUUAAUUAUACUGGUCCUUUUGGCAGCUCAGGCAAGCUGUCAAACUCCACCGGUACCCCCUAGAAGGGCCAGAAGGACCAGAAGGACAGCGCGACCUCCCGGGUAUAUUUGCUAAAAUCCUGCUAAUGGCACUAGAAGGCCAUAGGUAGAUGUGGAAAUGCAUCAAGAGAAUUUGUCUUAAUAUUUGAAUCGGACAAUAAAGCGUAACACUUCUCAAAAAUAAACAAUUGAUGUGCGUUCAUUUA